GAACGCUAGCUACAGGCUUAACACAUGCAAGUCGAGGGGCAGCAUUUCAGUUUGCUUGCAAACUGGAGAUGGCGACCGGCGCACGGGUGAGUAACACGUAUCCAACCUGCCGAUAACUCGGGGAUAGCCUUUCGAAAGAAAGAUUAAUACCCGAUGGUAUAAUCAGACCGCAUGGUCUUGUUAUUAAAGAAUUUCGGUUAUCGAUGGGGAUGCGUUCCAUUAGGCAGUUGGUGAGGUAACGGCUCACCAAACCUUCGAUGGAUAGGGGUUCUGAGAGGAAGGUCCCCCACAUUGGAACUGAGACACGGUCCAAACUCCUACGGGAGGCAGCAGUGAGGAAUAUUGGUCAAUGGGCGCAGGCCUGAACCAGCCAAGUAGCGUGAAGGAUGACUGCCCUAUGGGUUGUAAACUUCUUUUAUAUGGGAAUAAAGUUUUCCACGUGUGGAAUUUUGUAUGUACCAUAUGAAUAAGGAUCGGCUAACUCCGUGCCAGCAGCCGCGGUAAUACGGAGGAUCCGAGCGUUAUCCGGAUUUAUUGGGUUUAAAGGGAGCGUAGGUGGACAGUUAAGUCAGUUGUGAAAGUUUGCGGCUCAACCGUAAAAUUGCAGUUGAUACUGGCUGUCUUGAGUACAGUAGAGGUGGGCGGAAUUCGUGGUGUAGCGGUGAAAUGCUUAGAUAUCACGAAGAACUCCGAUUGCGAAGGCAGCUCACUGGACUGCAACUGACACUGAUGCUCGAAAGUGUGGGUAUCAAACAGGAUUAGAUACCCUGGUAGUCCACACAGUAAACGAUGAAUACUCGCUGUUUGCGAUAUACAGUAAGCGGCCAAGCGAAAGCAUUAAGUAUUCCACCUGGGGAGUACGCCGGCAACGGUGAAACUCAAAGGAAUUGACGGGGGCCCGCACAAGCGGAGGAACAUGUGGUUUAAUUCGAUGAUACGCGAGGAACCUUACCCGGGCUUAAAUUGCAUUUGAAUAUAUUGGAAACAGUAUAGCCGUAAGGCAAAUGUGAAGGUGCUGCAUGGUUGUCGUCAGCUCGUGCCGUGAGGUGUCGGCUUAAGUGCCAUAACGAGCGCAACCCUUAUCUUUAGUUACUAACAGGUCAUGCUGAGGACUCUAGAGAGACUGCCGUCGUAAGAUGUGAGGAAGGUGGGGAUGACGUCAAAUCAGCACGGCCCUUACGUCCGGGGCUACACACGUGUUACAAUGGGGGGUACAGAAGGCAGCUACCUGGUGACAGGAUGCUAAUCCCAAAAGCCUCUCUCAGUUCGGAUCGAAGUCUGCAACCCGACUUCGUGAAGCUGGAUUCGCUAGUAAUCGCGCAUCAGCCAUGGCGCGGUGAAUACGUUCCCGGGCCUUGUACACACCGCCCGUCAAGCCAUGAAAGCCGGGGGUACCUGAAGUACGUAACCGCAAGGAGCGUCCUAGGGUAAAACUGGUAAUUGGGG
rnacentral:rRNA from 1 species